GUGCUCAUUAUGCAAAAUAAUUCAUAACACAUCAUUUAUCAGAAGAUUAAUGAUCUGAAUCUGUAAAGUAAAUAAAGCUGUCAGAUAAAAGUAGUACAGCAAAAAGUACUAUAUAUACCUUUGAGGUGUAGUAGAUCAAUAAAGUAGCAGAACAUGGAAGUAUUCUAAUAAAGUACUGGAGUAAAUGUACUUUCUCGCGGAGUGGAGGAGGCGGAGUGAGACCUCCUCAUGUUGUCAGUGCUGCCCCCUAACGAACCGGAGAAGAAGAACGAACACGCCGUUUACCGUUGGUGUUCCAGCGGGUUAGAAACAAGAUGGCGACCAUCAGCAGGCGCGAUGUCGACCGGAUCUACUCGCUGGUGUUACUGGCUGUGGUGGUCUUGUCCUGGUCCUAUGUGAUCCACGCCAGUAGGAUCGCAGCUCAUUGGCUGCUGGAGGAGAGGACCGCCCUCCAGCAGCAGCACUGACAGCCCAUUGGCUGCUGGAGGAGGGUGUUGUUCUCCUUCAAGACAAUCAGAACCCUGAGACAUGCUGGUCUCCUUCAAGAAGACAAUCAGAACCCUGAGACAUGCUGGUCUCCUUCAAGAAGACAAUCAGAACCCUGAGACAUGCUGGUCUCCUUCAUGAAGACAAUCAGAACCCUGAGACAUGCUGGUCUCCUUUAUGAAGACAAUCAGAACCCUGAGACAUGCUGGUCUCCUUCAAGAAGACAAUCAGAACCCUGAGACAUGCUGGUCUCCUUCAAGAAGACAAUCAGAACCCUGAGACAUGCUGGUCUCCUUUAUGAAGACAAUCAGAACCCUGAGACAUGCUGGUCUCCUUUAUGAAGACAAUCAGAACCCUGAGACAUGCUGGUCUCCUUCAUGAAGACAAUCAGAACCCUGAGACAUGCUGGUCUCCUUUAUGAAGACAAUCAGAACCCUGAGACAUGCUGGUCUCCUUCAUGAAGACAAUCAGAACCCUGAGACAUGCUGGUCUCCUUCAAGAAGACAAUCAGAACCCUGAGACGUGGAUCUUCUAUAUGUUAUUGAUAUUAAAGAAGAUAAAGCUAACGUCACAGAACCACACUAACUGUUUCCAGUCUUUAUGUGAACGUCUGAGAAUAAAAUGUUAUUUAUAAAGAAUAUCAUGUUUUAUUUAGUGUUGUGUGUUCUGGUUUUGUUUUCACUUUGAUAUUAAAGAGCCUGGUUUCCUGCGCUGUGA